GACGUAGGAGGCGAGCGUUAUCCGGAUUCACUGGGCGUAAAGCGCAUGUAGGCGGUUGCACAAGUCCGUUGUUAAAGCCCCUGGCUCAACUGGGGGAGGUCAAUGGAGACUGUGCGACUUGAGGGCAGUAGAGGCACGUGGAACUCCCGGUGUAGCGGUGGAAUGCGUAGAGAUCGGGAAGAACACCAGUGGCGAAGGCGACGUGCUGGGCUGCAACUGACGCUGAGAUGCGAAAGUGUGGGGAGCAAACAGG
rnacentral:rRNA from 1 species